rnacentral:lncRNA from 10 species
GAAAUGAAAGCCCGGAAACCCCGGAACUAGAACUGGUAUGGAGUCUCACUCUGUCGCCCAGGCUGGAGUGUAGUAGCGCAAUCUUGGCUCACUGCAACCUCGGACUCCCAGGUUCAAGAGAUUCUCCUGCAUCAGCCUCCCAAGUAGCUGGGACUACAGGCAACGCAGUUGCUCAGGUGCUUCGGUAUCACAGCCAAGACCCCUUCGGGGGAAGCUAGUCGGAUACUGGGACCCACAUUCCAGACUACUGAGCCGCGGUCGCGCCCUCGGCUCCGUUUCUGCUCCCUCCACCCCACGAGGACGGGGGUGGAAGGCCACCUUCGAUGGGUGCAUCCUCCACGAUGACCUGCUAACAAAGGUGCAUGGAUUUCAGAGUCUGAUUGGCCUACAACAGCAUUUGGCUUGUGGAGACAGUGGUUCCCUGAUGAAAAACUGCCAUGAUGUAAGGAAGAGCCUGUCAGAGCGAGGCUGGGGUGCUGCGUGUUGGGGAGGUGGAGGUGUGGCUUCCCGGGAGAAGCUCCACCCGCUGGCUGAGUCU